rnacentral:rRNA from 1 species
CUAUGCGCCUUGCCCAGCCCGCUCAGGUGUGCCAGCCGCGCGGUAAUACGUAGGUGGCAAGCGUUAUCCGGAAUUAUUGGGCGUAAAGAGCGCGCAGGUGGUUAAUUAAGUCUGAUGUGAAAGCCCACGGCUUAACCGUGGAGGGUCAUUGGAAACUGGUUGACUUGAGUGCAGAAGAGGGAAGUGGAAUUCCAUGUGUAGCGGUGAAAUGCGUAGAGAUCAGGAGGAACACCGGCGGCGAAGGCGGCUUACUGGACUGUAACUGACGUUGAGGCUCGAAAGCGUGGGGAGCAAACAGG